rnacentral:rRNA from 1 species
GACGAACGCUGGCGGCGUGCUUAACACAUGCAAGUCGAACGGAAAGGCCCUGCUUUUGUGGGGUGCUCGAGUGGCGAACGGGUGAGUAACACGUGAGUAACCUGCCCUUGACUUUGGGAUAACUUCAGGAAACUGGGGCUAAUACCGGAUAGGAUCUCCUGCUGCAUGGUGGGGGUUGGAAAUUUUCGGCGGUUGGGGAUGGACUCGCGGCUUAUCAGCUUGUUGGUGGGGUAGUGGCUUACCAAGGCUUUGACGGGUAGCCGGCCUGAGAGGGUGACCGGCCACAUGGGGACUGAGAUACGGACCAGACUCCUACGGGAGGCAGCAGUGGGGAAUAUUGCACAAUGGGCGGAAGCCUGAUGCAGCAACGCCGCGUGCGGGAUGACGGCCUUCGGGUUGUAAACCGCUUUCGCCUGUGACGAAGCGUGAGUGACGGUAAUGGGUAAAGAAGCACCGGCUAACUACGUG